CAAAAACUUGCUCUAACCCGGAGUUACCCGUAUGUGUCUUUUGUCUUAAGCUCCCUGGAGCUUUCCAAAGUGAUGUUUUAAAUGACAGACCAUUUGCCACCAGCCUGACUACGUACGGGAAGAGCUUCACACGGGCCUGAUCCUAUCCACGUACACAGAUGAACGCGGUGGAUUGGAAUGAAGAGACGGGGAGGUGGGAGUCCACCAGACAUGUGAGUGUGAUCAGAGAAGUCAGAGGAAUCUAUGCAAGCCGUUUCCGAUGGCUUGCUCUAGAUAUGAUGCAGAAAAGAGAGUAAAGAAAGACCCCUAAAGCGCACCACCCAACCCCAAGUCUUUCUAUAAGAACACCCACUCCUCCUGCUCUUACCAUUACGCCCUAAGUAAAAUGAAGAUGGAAUCAAAUGCGCAUCUUGAAGAGGUAGCCAGGCAAAGGGGACUGAAACAAGGGAUACGUAGGCCAAACCAAUGGACGUUUUCUACUCUUUUUAUUCUCACUUAUUUGUUUUGUUAUGCUGGAAAAACAUUUAAGUCACGACUUGAGAUUGAGAUUGAUCUCCUUUGAUCUUUUUUAUCCUUUUCUUAAUACAUGGAAUUGGGUUUUUGUAAGGCAAGAUUUGCUGGAAUGCUUUACAGUACUUCAAUCUGUUUAAAUGGAACAUGCUAAAGAUAUUCUAAC